rnacentral:siRNA from 1 species
UGGGUAACCAUCGUAGAUAGGCUA